rnacentral:rRNA from 1 species
AGUGAACGCUGGCGGUAGGCCUAACACAUGCAAGUCGAACGGCAGCACAGUAAGAGCUUGCUCUUACGGGUGGCGAGUGGCGGACGGGUGAGGAAUACAUCGGAAUCUACUUUUUCGUGGGGGAUAACGUAGGGAAACUUACGCUAAUACCGCAUACGACCUACGGGUGAAAGCAGGGGAUCUUCGGACCUUGCGCGAUUGAAUGAGCCGAUGUCGGAUUAGCUAGUUGGCGGGGUAAAGGCCCACCAAGGCGACGAUCCGUAGCUGGUCUGAGAGGAUGAUCAGCCACACUGGAACUGAGACACGGUCCAGACUCCUACGGGAGGCAGCAGUGGGGAAUAUUGGACAAUGGGCCCAAUCCUGAUCCAGCCAUACCGCGUGGGUGAAGAAGGCCUUCGGGUUGUAAAGCCCUUUUGUUGGGAAAGAAAAGCAGCAGGUUAAUACCCCGCUGUUCUGACGGUACCCAAAGAAUAAGCACCGGCUAACUUCGUG